UACGUAGGGUGCGAGCGUUGUCCGGAAUUAUUGGGCGUAAAGAGCUCGUAGGCGGUGUGUCGCGUCGGCCGUGAAAACCUGGGGCUCAACUCUGGGCGUGCGGUCGAUACGGGCAUCACUAGAGUUCGGCAGGGGAGACUGGAAUUCCUGGUGUAGCGGUGAAAUGCGCAGAUAUCAGGAGGAACACCGGUGGCGAAGGCGGGUCUCUGGGCCGAUACUGACGCUGAGGAGCGAAAGCGUGGGGAGCGAACAGG
rnacentral:rRNA from 1 species